GACAGAGGGUGCGAACGUUGUUCCGAAUUACUGGGCGUAAAGCGCAUGUAGGCGGCAGCGCAAGUCGGGCGUGAAAUCCCACGGCUCAACCGUGGAAGUGCACUCGAAACUGCGCAGCUAGAGUCCUGGAGAGGAAGGUGGAAUGCUUGGUGUAGAGGUGAAAUUCGUAGAUAUCAAGCGGAACACCGGUGGCGAAGGCGGCCUUCUGGACAGUGACUGACGCUGAGAUGCGAAAGCGUGGGGAGCAAACAGG
rnacentral:rRNA from 1 species